CAUUCCUCCACCAUUCAUCAAUCCCGACACCACUCCACCUCAUUUCCAGAAUGCCAGUGGCAAAGAUGGAAAGGAAGAGAGAGAUGAACCAGAUACUCGCUAUGUUGCUAAUCUGCAAUCAAAAUCAUGCAGUUUGGAUCACAAACGAAAAAACCACUAGGAAAGAGCACCAACUUGGAUCAUUCCAGGAUGAUCUCUGGUGUUAUUCCCUGGCCAGGGCAUGCCAUCUUGCAUGAUCCAUCCCUCUUCAGGAACUUUCUGUGCCUUUGCAACAAGGGCAUUGAUGCGGACUUUAAACUCCUCGUAUUCUCUCUGUGGUAAACAGAUUGGUUGUCAGAUUCAGAUCAAGGCAUGUCCAAAGAAAUAGAAAGAUACAUCUAAAGACAAAACCGUGUAAUUUAGAUACCUUCAUAGCUCUGCGAUCUUUCACAAAUGAAGGAUGAACUUUGUCUUUCAGGUAA